CCGUUGCCUCAACGUCCAACCCUUCUGCAGGGCUGCAGUCCGGCCACCCCAAGACCUUGCUGCAGGGUGCUUCGGAUCCUGAUCGUGAGUCGCGGGGUCCACUCCCCGCCCUUAGCCAGUGCCCAGGGGGCAACAGCGGCGAUCGCAACCUCUAGUUUGAGUCAAGGUCCAGUUUGAAUGACCGCUCUCAGCUGGUGAAGACAUGACGACCCUGGACUCCAACAACAACACAGUGGCGUCAUCACCUACAUUGGCUCCAGUGGCUCCUCCCCAAGCCGCACCAGCCCUGAAU
rnacentral:lncRNA from 1 species